AGUGAACGCUGGCCGUAGGCCUAACACAUGCAAGUCGAACGGCAGCACAGGAGAGCUUGCUCUCUGGGUGGCGAGUGGCGGACGGGUGAGGAAUACAUCGGAAUCUACUUUUUCGUGGGGGAUAACGUAGGGAAACUUACGCUAAUACCGCAUACGACCUACGGGUGAAAGCAGGGGAUCUUCGGACCUUGCGCGAUUGAAUGAGCCUAUGUCGGAUUAGCUAGUUGGCGGGGUAAAGGCCCACCAAGGCGACGAUCCGUAGCUGGUCUGAGAGGAGGAUCAGCCACACUGGAACUGAGACACGGUCCAGACUCCUACGGGAGGCAGCAGUGGGGAAUAUUGGACAAUGGGCGCAAGCCUGAUCCAGCCAUACCGCGUGGGUGAAGAAGGCCUUCGGGUUGUAAAGCCCUUUUGUUGGGAAAGAAAUCCAGCUGGUUAAUACCCGGUUGGGAUGACGGUACCCAAAGAAUAAGCACCGGCUAACUUCGUGCCAGCCGCCGCCGUAA
rnacentral:rRNA from 1 species